rnacentral:rRNA from 1 species
AGUCGAGGGGUAUAGGUUUUCGGACCUAGAGACCGGCGCACGGGUGCGUAACGCGUAUGCAAUCUACCUUUUACAGAGGGAUAGCCCAGAGAAAUUUGGAUUAAUACCUCAUAGUAUUAUUGAAUGGCAUCAUUUAAUAAUUAAAGUCACAACGGUAAAAGAUGAGCAUGCGUCCCAUUAGCUUGUUGGUAAGGUAACGGCUUACCAAGGCAACGAUGGGUAGGGGUCCUGAGAGGGAGAUCCCCCACACUGGUACUGAGACACGGACCAGACUCCUACGGGAGGCAGCAGUGAGGAAUAUUGGUCAAUGGGCGCAAGCCUGAACCAGCCAUGCCGCGUGCAGGAUGACGGUCCUAUGGAUUGUAAACUGCCUUUGUACAGGAAGAAACAGUUCUACGUGUAGAACCUUGACGGUACUGUAAGAAUAAGGAUCGGCUAACUCCGUGCCAGCAGCCGCGGUAAUACGGAGGAUCCAAGCGUUAUCCGGAAUCAUUGGGUUUAAAGGGUCCGUAGGCGGUUUUGUAAGUCAGUGGUGAAAGCCCAUCGCUCAACGGUGGAACGGCCAUUGAUACUGCAAGACUUGAAUUAUUGGGAAGUAACUAGAAUAUGUAGUGUAGCGGUGAAAUGCUUAGAGAUUACAUGGAAUACCAAUUGCGAAGGCAGGUUACUACCAAUAUAUUGACGCUGAUGGACGAAAGCGUGGGGAGCGA